GACGAACGCUGGCGGCGUGCUUAACACAUGCAAGUCGAACGGAAAGGCCCUGCUUUUGUGGGGUGCUCGAGUGGCGAACGGGUGAGUAACACGUGAGUAACCUGCCCUUGACUUUGGGAUAACUUCAGGAAACUGGGGCUAAUACCGGAUAGGAGCUCCUGCUGCAUGGUGGGGGUUGGAAAGUUUCGGCGGUUGGGGAUGGACUCGCGGCUUAUCAGCUUGUUGGUGGGGUAGUGGCUUACCAAGGCUUUGACAGGUAGCCGGCCUGAGAGGGUGACCGGCCACAUUGGGACUGAGAUACGGCCCAGACUCCUACGGGAGGCAGCAGUGGGGAAUAUUGCACAAUGGGCGGAAGCCUGAUGCAGCAACGCCGCGUGCGGGAUGACGGCCUUCGGGUUGUAAACCGCUUUCGCCUGUGACGAAGCGCGAGUGACGGUAAUGGGUAAAGAAGCACCGGCUAACUACGUG
rnacentral:rRNA from 1 species